AAGUGAGAAUGCCGGUAUGAGUAGCGAAAGAAGGGUGAGAAUCCCUUCCACCGAAUAUCUAAGGUUUCCUGAGGAAGGCUCGUCCGCUCAGGGUUAGUCGGGACCUAAGCCGAGGCCGAUAGGCGUAGGCGAUGGACAACAGGUAGAGAUUCCUGUACCAGUGCUAAUUGUUUAACCGAUGGGGUGACACAGAAGGAUAGGGAAUCGCACGAAUGGAAAUGUGCGUCCAAGCAGUGAGUGUGAGAAGUAGGCAAAUCCGCUUCUCGCGAAGCAUGAGCUGUGAUGGGGAAGGAAAUUAAGUACGGAAGUUCCUGAUUUCACGCUGUCAAGAAAAGCCUCUAGGAAGAGUAGUACUGCCCGUACCGCAAACCGACACAGGUAGAUGAGGAGAGAAUCCUAAGGUGAGCGAGAGAACUCUCGUUAAGGAACUCGGCAAAAUGACCCCGUAACUUCGGGAGAAGGGGUGCUCUAUUAGGGUGCAAGCCCGAGAGAGCCGCAGUGAAUAGGCCCAGGCGACUGUUUAGCAAAAACACAGGUCUCUGCAAAACCGUAAGGUGACGUAUAGGGGCUGACGCCUGCCCGGUGCUGGAAGGUUAAGAGGAGUGCUUAGCUUCGGCGAAGGUACGAAUUGAAGCCCCAGUAAACGGCGGCCGUAACUAUAACGGUCCUAAGGUAGCGAAAUUCCUUGUCGGGUAAGUUCCGACCCGCACGAAAGGCGCAACGAUCUGGGCACUGUCUCAACGAGAGACUCGGUGAAAUUAUAGUACCUGUGAAGAUGC
rnacentral:rRNA from 1 species